rnacentral:rRNA from 1 species
AUGGCGACGAGCCUGCCUCCGCCGCUCCGCUCCCGCCGGACGCUGGAGCUGCCAGACGACGUCAUGGAGGAGAUCUUCCUCCGCCUACCGGCGGACAACCCCGCCAGCCUCGCCCGCGUCGCCGGCGGCUGCAAGAGCUGGCUGGCCAUGGUCUCGGACCCCAACUUCGCCCCCGCCUACCGCAGGCUCCGCGACGCGCCGCCCAUGCUGGGCUUCCUCUACAACUACCGCUACACCGACGAGGGAGCGCCCUACUGGACGUCCCACUUCCGCGCCGCCGCGGCCCUCCCCCCGCGGGUGCGCCGCGACCGCAAGCACUGGCGCGCUCUCGACUCCCGCCACGGCCUCGUCCUCUUCGACACCCCUGAGAGUGACGGCCACCUCGUCGUCUCCGACCUCGUCACCGGCGAGCACUGGAAAAUCGACGGCCACAUCACGUUCCCGGAUGCGUGUAAUGCUACAGUGCUCUGCGCCAGGGACGGAUGUGACCACCGUGAUUGCCAUGGCGGCCCUUUCCUCGUGGCCUGCGUGGACUCCGUCGUGGCAGGGGACCGGAGGAUAACCUGCGCCAUGUUCUACUCAUCAGUUACUGGCAAGUGGAUCGACCCGAUCUUCGUCGAGCAACCCAAUGUCAUCGAUGCCAGGGGGCACAGUGCUGUGCUGGGAAAUAAGGUCUAUGUCCCCUGUGUGAAGGAUGGCAGUGUCGUGGAGUACAACACGCGUGAGAACAAGCUAUCUGUGAUCAAGGCGCCAUUUGAGGUCCAGGACCAGAAGAUUGAGCUCAUGGGGGUGGAGGACGGAAUGCUGCUGUUUGCGUCUGUGGUGAAGCCUAGACUCUACCUAUGGUCAAUGGAGGCUGGUCCCAGAGGAGCUGCGGGACGGGCACAAAGCAGGUUCAUCGAGCUCGGGCCGUUGCUCCCUCGUCCUGUCCUCGUGGACAACACCGAAGUGUCGGCGGUUGGUUUUGCGGAAGGUGUUGGUGUCAUCUUCAUCAAGACAAAAGUUGGGUUGUACACAAUUCAUCUCAAAUCAAAACAAAGCAACCAGGUGCACCGAGGGUACAUCAAUAAGGUCAUGCCCUACAUGAGCUUCUACACUGGAGCAUGGGAGCCUUUGCCAGCAUCUGAUGAAGCUUAA